CAUAUCAAUAAGCGGAGGAAAAGAAACCAACAGGGAUUGCCUUAGUAACGGCGAGUGAAGCGGCAACAGCUCAAAUUUGAAAGCUGGCCCUUUUAGGGUCCGCAUUGUAAUUUGUAGAGGAUGAUUCGGCGAGGGCUCCUGCCUAAGUCCCCUGGAACGGGGCGUCAUAGAGGGUGAGAAUCCCGUAUGCGGUAGGUUGCCUUAGCCAUGUGAAUCUCCUUCGACGAGUCGAGUUGUUUGGGAAUGCAGCUCUAAAUGGGAGGUAAAUUUCUUCUAAAGCUAAAUACCGGCCAGAGACCGAUAGCGCACAAGUAGAGUGAUCGAAAGAUGAAAAGCACUUUGGAAAGAGAGUUAAAAAGUACGUGAAAUUGUUGAAAGGGAAGCGCUUGCAACCAGACUUGUCCGCAGUUGCUCAGCCGGUCUCCUGACCGGCGUACUCUUCUGCGGCCAGGCCAGCAUCAGUUCGGGCGGUCGGAUAAAGGCCUCGGGAAUGUAGCUCCUCUCGGGGAGUGUUAUAGCCCGGGGUGGAAUGCGGCCAGCCUGGACUGAGGAACUCGCUUCGGCAAGGAUGCUGGCGUAAUGGUUGUAAGCGGCCCGUCUUGAAACACGGACCAAGGAGUCUAACAUCUAUGCGAGUGUUCGGGUGUCAAACCCGUACGCGUAAUGAAAGUGAACGGAGGUGGGAACCCGCAAGGGUGCACCAUCGGCCGAUCCUGAUGUCUUCGGAUGGAUUUGAGCAAGAGCAUAGCUGUUGGGACCCGAAAGAUGGUGAACUAUGCCUGAAUAGGGUGAAGCCAGAGGAAACUCUGGUGGAGGCUCGCAGCGGUUCUGACGUGCAAAUCGAUCGUCAAAUUUGGGUAUAGGGGCGAAAGACUAAUCGAACCAUCUAGUAGCU
rnacentral:rRNA from 1 species